rnacentral:rRNA from 1 species
GUGAGGAAUAUUGGUCAAUGGACGAGAGUCUGAACCAGCCAAGUCGCGUGAAGGAAGACGGUUCUAUGAAUUGUAAACUUCUUUUGUGCAGGAAUAAAGUGGGUUACGUGUAACCUUUUGUAUGUACUGUACGAAUAAGGAUCGGCUAACUCCGCGCCAGCAGCCGCGGUAAUACGGAGGAUCCGAGCGUUAUCCGGAUUUAUUGGGUUUAAAGGGUGCGUAGGUGGAUUGAUAAGUCAGCGGUGAAAGUUUGCAGCUUAACUGUAAAAUUGGCGUUGAAACUGUCGGUCUUGAGUGCAAAUGAGGUAGGCGGAAUGUGUUGUGUAGCGGUGAAAUGCUUAGAUAUAACACAGAACUCCGAUUGCGAAGGCAGCUUACUGGGAUGCAACUGACACUGAUGCACGAAAGCGUGGGUAUCAAACAGGAUUAGAAACCCUGGUAGUCC